AUUGAACGCUGGCGGCAGGCCUAACACAUGCAAGUCGAGCGGAUGAAGGGAGCUUGCUCCUGGAUUCAGCGGCGGACGGGUGAGUAAUGCCUAGGAAUCUGCCUGUCAGUGUUGUAUAACGUCCGGAAACGGGCGCUAAUACCGCAUACGUCCUGAGGGAGAAAGUGUGGGAUCUUCGGACCUCACGCUCUCAGAUGAUCCUAUGUCGGAUUAGCUAGUUGGUGGGGUAAAGGCCUACCAAGGCGACGAUCCGUAACUGGUCUGAGAGGAUGAUCAGUCACACUGGAACUGAGACACGGUCCAGACUCCUACGGGAGGCAGCAGUGGGGAAUAUUGGACAAUGGGCGAAAGCCUGAUCCAGCCAUGCCGCGUGUGUGAAGAAGGUCUUCGGAUUGUAAAGCACUUUAAGUUGGGAGGAAGGGCAGUAAGUUAAUACCUUGCUGUUUUGACGUUACCAAAAGAAUAAGCACCGGCUAACUUCGUG
rnacentral:rRNA from 1 species